AAUCAUUAGAGAAAUCCCUGAAGGAAUUCCUGGUGGAAUUCCAGGUGGAAUUUCGUCUGAAAUAUUUCCCAGACGAAUCUCUGGAGGAAUCCCUAGGGGAUCAAUUCUUGCAUAUAUUCCUGGAGGAAACCCUGGAAGAAAAUCCGGAGGAAUCCCUGGAAAAAAUCCUGGAGGAAUUACUGAAGAAAUUAUUGAAAGAAUUUCUGAAAGAAUUGGUGGAAGAAUUGCUGUAAGCAUUUCCGAAGCAAAUCCUGGAGGAAUUCCUGGAUCAAUUCCUGGGUAAAAUCUGUUACCGUUUACAGUAACAAUGGGUAAAAGUUCGCUCAUUUUAUUUUGAAGUGGUACCAACUAAUCCCCCCCAAAACAACACAAUUUUGUGAGACUUCGCAUGUAGUAGCGAAGGUGGAAUAAACACUGAAAAUUACCCAUUUCACUGUUUAUUCCACCUUAGGCGAUUGUACCCUUUCUAACGCUAACGCUGCUGUCACCCUCUGUCACCUAUUUGACGGCGAAAUAAAACCAACGAUGGCAACUCAACUUCCGGAGCGAUGAGGGAAGGGGAGAGAAGGAUGAAAAGGGAGAAAGGGAAAAAACCCGAAGAGGAGUCAGUGAGGUUUGAUCCGCCGAACGCGAAACAAGUGGCUGAAAGUUCAGCACAAAAAUUCUCUACCAAAGGACGAGACCAUCCAGUCAGCCAACUGAAUUGGCCGCGCGCAACCCCGAAAAAUCACCUGGAUCAACCAUAGACGGAUUCCGCUCGAUCAACCAACCGAGCGGUCCGUGGAACGGCCCGUUUUUGCCAACCACAAGCCGGGGAAACCCGCCAGUGCGACGCCACGCACGGAACCGACACUGUCAGUCAGCGAAGCGGCCCGUGGGGACGGUACGCCCUCCUCGUGGCUCGUUUAGAAAGCCCUGUGAACCCCGCCGGUGCGACGCCGCGCCCGGAACCGACACUGUCAGCCAGCGAAGCGGUCCGUGGGGACGGUACGCCCUCCUCGUGGCUCGUUUAGAUAGCCCUGUGAGCCCCGCCGGUGCGACGCCGCGCACGGAACCGACACUGUCAGCCAGCGAAGCGGUCCGUGGGGACGGUACGCCCUCCUCGUGGCUCGUUUAGAUAGCCCUGUGAACCCCACCGAAUCGACGCACCGCCCGGAUCCCGCAGUGUCAGCCAACGAGGCCCGGUGAUCGGCCACCAGCCCAGAGAAGCCCACUCCCUAAACGAAACCCACAAGCCCGGUCAGUCGCGUGAGACCAUCCGGUCCGACAGAACCGGUGAAGCCAUCGGAUUCGACGCCUGGGACCUCCUCGAUACGCCCACGGAGUGUGCCAAGGGACGGCCUGCUCUCCUCGUGGCCCGGGGCCUGGUGGGUAUCCGAAGCCAGCAAACCCAACCGACUCGACCUGUGGAAUCAAAGGUAUGUGGUACCCGUCUUCCCUUCCCUGUCGCAUGACUACCAUGGGCCCCAACGAUGCCGAUCGGCCGCAACGGUACUAACCCUUUAUUAACCCUAAAACCAAACAAAAAAAAAAACAAUAAAUUAAGUAAAAUGUA